rnacentral:lncRNA from 1 species
CUUCCAGUUAGGAGAAUCAAAUGUUAAAUUAUACUUAGCAAUAUCUCUUCAAAUAUAACAAUUUAUUGGUUUAAAAGGUAGUCUAUUGUAACAUGCAUGUGAUGUAUUUAUAAUCUAAACAAGCCACAGUUAGCCCUCUAAAGGGUUUGUAAACAACAGCAAAUCACCUCCCUUUGAUCACGGUGUUAGGGUUGUUGGUAAAAGUAUAACAGAUAAAUUCUAGUGGGAGAAAACCGAGGGGUCAGGGGAAAAGUGAUUUCUUAGUCCAUCCAACUGUCAUUCAAAAACGAAGCCAUUUUAUUGCAAUGCAUCAAAGAUGAUUUUUUUUUAACCAGCCUAUAAAAAAUGCGACUCAAGUCCAGGGGUUCAGAUGGAUUAAAAUUGGUCCACACAGAGAAAAAACUCGUAUUAUCAUAGAAAUGUCUGUUUCAGAGCUCUGAGAGUCUGAGGCUAAGUUAAUCAUGGACUGGGUACCAAUUCCUUUGCAUAAAGACUGUGUGGGGUGGUGCCGGGCCAGUGUUCUAUCACUGAGCUAGGCCCCUGGCCAUUAAUAACUUUAAAUACCAAAUUAAGAUAUGCAAGUCCAAACUUUUAUCCAAGACAAGCUAACAAACAUGAUUUCAUCUUUGAGGCUGUCUCUUGGUAAAGGCAAAGUGCACACAUCUGAUUUAACAGAAAGAUCUUCCUCAAAGAAAACUAGCCUUGAAGAUCAUUUUAUCAAAAUUCACAUUUUUUAAAAACCUAGCUUGAAGGGGGAAAAAAACUAUUGAUAAAAAUAUUAACUUACCAAGAAGUGAAACAGGCUGGGUUACAGGAGGGGUAGGCAGAUUCGUGGGUGCAGCAGGUGGCACAGCAGAGCCAUACAUUUUCACACUGUCACCAGAUUCGGCAUUUCCUCUAGCCCCAGACACCACUGUUGGAAUGGGAUUUCCAAUAGAUAAGUCUUUUGUAGUGUCUUCAUUUAUACCAGCGAUAGUAGCUAAGGAAUAGUUUGGGAUGCUUAUUGGUGGAGUGUGAGGAGGAGGAAUGGAUACUGGUGGAGUUAUAGGAGGUGGGGGUCCAGGAGGAAGAAAACCUAGAACGAGAAAAGUAAUGUUAAUGUAUGCUACUGUCACUUCAUUUUAAGUUCUAAAGGAAUGUCUUCCAAACAACUUAGUGUACCUGGUGGUAAAUGCAUUGGAUUGAAUCCUGGGCGCAAAAAUGGUGGAGGGGGAGGUGGAG